UGUUACUCAACAAAGUUGGGAAAAUAGUGGAUGAAAAGUAUCAGAAUUACUUCCAAUUAUGUCAGGGCCCUGCACGUUCUUCAGCUCUAAGGAAGGGCCCGCCCAUCUGGGCCCCUUGAGAGUCAGCAGGACUCUAAUGGACGCUCUGGGAUGAACAAGGUAAGAAGAGUAUGAAAGAAGAGGAUUAUACAAGGGAACGUUGGAAGUGAUCAAUGUGUUUAGCAUCUUAUUGUAAUGAUGGUUUCAUUGAGAUGAACAUAUGUCAAAAUGUAUUAAAUUUGGACCAAUAAAGAUAUUAAGAUG